UACGUAGGGUGCAAGCGUUGUCCGGAAUUAUUGGGCGUAAAGAGCUCGUAGGCGGUUCGUCGCGUCGGCUGUGAAAACCCGGAGCUCAACUCCGGGCCUGCAGUCGAUACGGGCGGACUUGAGUGUUGCAGGGGAGACUGGAAUUCCUGGUGUAGCGGUGAAAUGCGCAGAUAUCAGGAGGAACACCGGUGGCGAAGGCGGCAUCCUGGACCGAGAUUGACGCUGAGGCGCGAAAGCCAGGGGAGCAAACGGG
rnacentral:rRNA from 1 species